UACGGGGGGGGCAAGCGUUGUUCGGAAUUACUGGGCGUAAAGGGCUCGUAGGCGGCCAACUAAGUCCGACGUGAAAUCCCAAGGCUUAACCUUGGAACUGCGUCGGAUACUGGAUGGCUUGAAUUCGGGAGAGGGAUGCAGAAUUCCAGGUGUAGCGGUGAAAUGCGUAGAUAUCUGGAGGAAUACCGGUGGCGAAGGCGGCAUCCUGGACCGACAUUGACGCUGAGGAGCGAAAGCUAGGGGAGCAAACAGG
rnacentral:rRNA from 1 species